rnacentral:misc_RNA from 1 species
AGAUAGAGCAGGGACUUUCUUGGGCUCAAUAUGGGAGUCCAAGACCAAUGUUGCCAUCACUCUUCUUGAAGCCGGACUUGCUAAGCUCCAAACCUUUGGCUUAGACAGGAUCCCAGAUGCUCACUUACUCGCUCAAGCUGAGCAAUCUGCAAAAAAACAGAAACUGAAAAUAUGGGAGAACUAUGUUGAAGGACAAGAAGUUGCUGCUGGUCCUGCAGCAGACACAAAACAGAAGGAAGUUCUGAAGGUUGCGGUUACUGAAGUACUUGGCGGUGGGAAAUUCUAUGUCCAAACAACUGGUGACCAAAAGGUGUCUGCUAUUCAGCAGCAGCUUGCCUCGUUGAGUCUUCAAGAAGCUCCUGUUAUUGGUGCUUUUAAUCCCGCCAAGGGCGAAAUAGUCCUAGCACAGUUCAGUGUAGAUAAUUCCUGGAACAGAGCCAUGAUCGUUAAUGGCCCACGAGGAGCUGUGGAAUCACCAAAAGAUAAGUUUGAAGUCUUCUACAUUGACUAUGGAAACCAGGAAAUAGUCCCGUACAGUCGUUUACGGCCUCUGGAUCCUUCGGUCUCAUCAGCACCGGGAUUGGCUCAGCUGUGCAGCCUUGCAUACAUCAAAGUCCCGGAUUUGGAGGACGAUUUUGGUCAGGAAGCUGCGGAGUAUAUGAGUGAGUGCACUCUAAGCAGUUCUAAACAAUUCCGAGCAAUGAUUGAGGACAGAGAUGCCUCUGGAGGGAAGGUAAAGGG